rnacentral:ncRNA from 1 species
AUGGUAGAGGUUGCGCAAAUUAUGAGUAGGCUGUGGGAUGUGGCAGGCACAGGAGAACACAGCAGAAAGGGAGGAGCGCCGAAAGAAAGGGAUGUCUGCAGUUCUUUUCUUGGGCAUACGGUUAACAGCCGUAUGACUGUCAGAAGCGCAGCGCGCAGAUGGAGAGCUAUCAG